rnacentral:lncRNA from 1 species
GGGUUUCCAUCCAUGGAGCUUCAUCUGAUCAAAGACACACAAAGCUUCAUGGAUCCUUCUCUCGGUGCAGAGGCCAGUGAGCAAUGUACUGUAAGUUUUCAUGUUGGGUUUCUCUCUCUUUCCUCCCUUUGCUUUCUCUCUCUUCCCAUCCAUUGUUUCAAGAACUUCCAUGGCCUCUAGUGACCUUCCAGCUUUGCAGAGGCCAUUGAUCAGAGAGGUGUAAGUUAUGACAUUGGGCUCGAUUCCAUUAACCACCAUUUCUUCGAGCAAUUUCAUGGCUGUCUCCAAAUCUCCAACUUUGCAGAACCCAUAAAUCAUUGUACUGUAAGUGAUCACAGUAGGCGAACAUUUCUUCGAAAUCAUCUCCUCCAUUAAAGGUUUGGCCUCUGAAACUCUACCCAAUUUGCAAAGCCCAUCGAUCAGUGUUCCAUAAGUGUAAGAAUCAGGAGUAAACCCAAAUUCCAGUUCCAUUUUCUUGAAAACUCUAAACGCCGAAUCAAUGGUUUUUUGUGAUUUGCAGAGGGCCUUCAGCAAUAUAUUGAGGGAAACCAGAGAGAGGGGGAUACCCAUUUCUUUCAUUUGAAAGAAGAACUUGUG